UACGGAGGAUCCAAGCGUUAUCCGGAAUCAUUGGGUUUAAAGGGUCCGUAGGCGGUCUAAUAAGUCAGUGGUGAAAGCCCAUCGCUUAACGAUGGAACGGCCAUUGAUACUGUUAGACUUGAAUUAUUGGGAAGUAACUAGAAUAUGUAGUGUAGCGGUGAAAUGCUUAGAUAUUACAUGGAGUACCAAUUGCGAAGGCAGGUUACUAUCAAUAUAUUGACGCUGAUGGACGAAAGCGUGGGGAGCGAACAGG
rnacentral:rRNA from 1 species